CCACCAUUUUCUACAGGUGCACCGGCGUGCGGUGUGGCCCUCGGCGUUGGUUGCGCCGCUCCGUCGCAACGGCAUUAGGGGCGAAGACCCGCUCGCGGCGACCAAGGUGUUGACGAGCAGGAACGCGCCCUUCCACUGGCCGAGCCGGCAAGCCGUGCACAAGCUGCGGGCGCGGCCGGCUGCGCUUCCUCCGUCUUCGCCUCGAACCAUGCCGCCCAGCGUCGGCACGGCCAAGGCCCGUGUCCAUAACAAGCUGGGCGCGCGGCGGGGUGGCUUCGGUGGGCGACAAGCGACAUCCAGAGGGCAUGUACAACGGUGAGCCGAUGCCGUCGUCUUACAUCGAACGCAGCAAAAUACGCAGUUCGUCAGCCGAUUGAAUGUGGAGAGAGAGCAGAGCCGUCGCCUCCUUCGUCGACAGCGGGGGCUCGUGCUCCGAUGGUCGACGGCACCGAGCACGCGUUGUAGCAGCGGAGGCGAGUCGUCGACGACCACCAGGAUCCCGUGCGCGGGCAGGGGCGCGCGCGCCGAAUCCAUUUUCGCGGCAAAAUCGAGCGCGCUUCCUUCUCCCUGUAUGCCCCUGCCCCCUUCCUUCUAGAUCCUGAAUCAUUUCCCACCCUAACAUGUGGCGCAGCGCAAACCCUAGCAUGGGAGGAUGAGAAAUUGGCGGCGGCUCGAGAGCGGAGAGCCGCUGCGGCGGCGACACGGAGAGGACGCUCGGCGCGGCGAAAGGAAGCGGCAGCGCCGGCUGGGAAGACCGGCGGCGGUGCUGCGGUGCCGGAGCAGUGGGGAUUGAGGCGUGCGGCGGCAGAGCACGAGGGAGCAGACACUACAACGCAUAGUGCCCUCCUCUGCACCUCCUCCAGGACGAGCAUACAUCCAAGAGGGACUCGCUGCGAGCACGACCGUGUACAGGUCAGCCAAAUUGCUUGAGUUCCCGACAAGGAGUCCAACUUUGGCAGACAUUGCAGUCCCAAGCUCCAGCGGCAAGGAGUCCAUCCGCGACGCCAGCAACCUGUUCGACCAAAUGCCAAAAAGCUAGGGAGUUGAAAUAGAAAAAGGCUUCACCUUUUUGCUCUUUUUUGUGGGAGAUUCAAGUUAUAAAGUCAGCCCUUGUGAAACAUGACGAGAAAACUAGUUAUAUAGUCAGCCUAUGUGCCGGAGCAGAACGGAGCGAGUGAAGUGGACAUGGUGCAGCUAAUCCUCCGAUUUCCUUCACCGACAGGAGCUGGUUCUUCGACGAUGCCGGCGGCUUCUUCGACAGCAGCUCGAUGUGACAAUGAUUUUUUGGUGUAAAAUCUAGGCAGUUGGUCUCAAUUUUUAUCACUAUGGCUCAAUUUACGGGACUUAGGGAGUAGGAACA